rnacentral:rRNA from 1 species
GACGAACGCUGGCGGCGUGCUUAACACAUGCAAGUCGAACGGAAAGGCCCUGCUUUUGUGGGGUGCUCGAGUGGCGAACGGGUGAGUAACACGUGAGUAACCUGCCCUUGACUUUGGGAUAACUUCAGGAAACUGGGGCUAAUACCGGAUAGGAGCUCCUGCUGCAUGGUGGGGGUUGGAAAGUUUCGGCGGUUGGGGAUGGACUCGCGGCUUAUCAGCUUGUUGGUGGGGUAGUGGCUUACCAAGGCUUUGACGGGUAGCCGGCCUGAGAGGGUGACCGGCCACAUUGGGACUGAGGUACGGACCAGACUCCUACGGGAGGCAGCAGUGGGGAAUAUUGCACAAUGGGCGGAAGCCUGAUGCAGCAACGCCGCGUGCGGGAUGACGGCCUUCGGGUUGUAAACCGCUUUCGCAUGUGACGAAGCGUGAGUGACGGUAAUGGGUAAAGAAGCACCGGCUAACUACGUG